rnacentral:misc_RNA from 1 species
GAGAAGAACGCAGCGAAAUGCGAUAAGUAAUGUGAAUUGUAGAAUUCAGUGAAUCAUCGAAUCUUUGAACGCACAUUGCGCCCGCCAGUAUUCUGGCGGGCAUGCCUGUUCGAGCGUCAUUUCAACCAUCAAGCCCCGGGCUUGUGUUGGGGACCUGCGGCUGCCGCAGGCCCUGAAAUGCAGUGGCGGGCUCGCUGUCACUCCGAGCGUAGUAGUUACAUCUCGCUCUGGGCGUGCUGCGGGUUCCGGCCGUUAAAAGCCUUAUUUACCCAAGGUUGACCUCGGAUCAGGUAGGAAGACCCGCUGAACUUAAGCAUAUCAAUAAGCGGAGGA